rnacentral:lncRNA from 1 species
GCUCGCGGUAAGCAGGAUCCACCCGAGUAGCGGGGACCGAAUCCCAUCUUUCUUAUCUCUCGAAGACUCCUUUCAGGCUGAGAUCAGAGAGGGAGGGAAAAAGAAGAGAGAAUCAUUGUUCUUCUUUUUUUAAUUUAAUAUACCAAGCCACCAGCUCAGAAGGCUUCAUUUGCUCUGAGUUAUCAUUGAGAACUAAAUGGAGAAGAAAAGAACUGAAGGCCUGAAGAUAUGUCAUCUGUAGAAAAGCCCCAUCCUUCUGCAGGUGGCCUCUUCUCAAGCUUUCUUGGCAAAUCAAGAGCUUCUGCCUUUUGGAGGACAUCCUCUUGACCUCCCACCCAUAUCAGCUCUUAGAGGACAUUCCACAGGAACAUUGCCUUCUUGUCCUCCAGUAUUUUUUAUGGAAACAGAAAUUAGGUUAUCUUCCUUAUGCUCUAGAUGGACAUCUGAAAUCAUCAAACCCUUGAGAGAAACAGCCCUCAUUCUUUUAUGAGACAACCUGGAAGAAAACAGGACUCUGAAGAUUUGUCUCCAUAUUCUCUGGAAAGAUGUACUCUGUUUGCAAUAAGAGGGAGCCACAUGGUUUAUUAGAUGGUUAUUAAUUGAGCAUUCUGUGCAAAGAAGUUUGUGCCUUAGAUUUAGAAUUCCACCCUCAGUUGGAAUACAGAUGAUCCCUAACAAGUCACAUGAAAAAAUGAACUGUGGAGCCAGAAGAGUGAGUUCUUGGAGAACUAAGGGCCAGAGACCUGUGAGCAAGAUUUGAUAAUUUUAUAAAAAUUAAAAGACGAUUUGAAAUGUUAUUGGUCUUACUAAAACUUUUACUUGUGAACUGCAAUUGAUGACAUGAUCACUUGUGCCAAUUAUAAUUUUAUACCAAAGGACUGCAGAGCAUUGGAUGGGUUUGUUGGGCAGGUUUCUCACAAACGCUGACAGAAAGGUAUGACGAAGGAUGGGAGGACAAACUGGGGGGGUGCCAAGUAGAAAAACAGAAGCGAUGGCUAAGUGCUCGUCCUGGACUCUGCCCUUUGAUAAGGGACUGAAGGUCCCUUAUGAUCUUCUUUCAAAUUCCACCGUCACAGUUUUAGUCACAUCCAUCUAUAAUAUUAUUUACUAUCAGACUUUUCUUUAAAUUGACUCGCUUUUUCACUUUAGCCUUAUCCCAAGCAAUAAUGCAUAUAAAUCAUAAGUUUGUUGUAAUAGAUUUUUUGUAAUACUAAUCAAAAUUAAAUUUAUUCCC